UACGGAGGAUGCAAGCGUUAUCCGGAAUGAUUGGGCGUAAAGCGUCCGCAGGUGGCAAUGUAAGUCUGCUGUCAAAGCGUCUGGCUCAACCAGAUAAAGGCAGUGGAAACUACAUAGCUAGAGUAAGGUAGGGGUAGAGGGAAUUCCUGGUGUAGCGGUGAAAUGCGUAGAGAUCAGGAAGAACACCGGUGGCGAAGGCGCUCUACUGGACCGCAACUGACACUCAGGGACGAAAGCUAGGGGAGCGAAUGGG
rnacentral:rRNA from 1 species